UCGUGGAUUAAUUUGUCAGGUUAAUUCCGUUAACGAACGAGACCUUAACUUGCUAAUUGGGCGCCCGCAUUUUAUGCGGCAGCCUAUUAGAAGGACUAUGUGUGUUCAACACAAGGAAGCGUGAGGCAAUAACA
rnacentral:rRNA from 1 species